GAUGAACGCUGGCGGCGUGCCUAAUACAUGCAAGUCGAGCGAACAGAUAAGGAGCUUGCUCCUUUGACGUUAGCGGCGGACGGGUGAGUAACACGUGGAUAACCUACCUAUAAGACUGGGAUAACUUCGGGAAACCGGAGCUAAUACCGGAUAACAUAUUGAACCGCAUGGUUCAAUAGUGAAAGGCGGCUUUGCUGUCACUUAUAGAUGGAUCCGCGCCGUAUUAGCUAGUUGGUAAGGUAACGGCUUACCAAGGCAACGAUACGUAGCCGACCUGAGAGGGUGAUCGGCCACACUGGAACUGAGACACGGUCCAGACUCCUACGGGAGGCAGCAGUAGGGAAUCUUCCGCAAUGGGCGAAAGCCUGACGGAGCAACGCCGCGUGAGUGAUGAAGGUCUUCGGAUCGUAAAACUCUGUUAUCAGGGAAGAACAAAUGUGUAAGAAACUGUGCACAUCUUGACGGUACCUGAUCAGAAAGCCAGGGCUAACUACGUG
rnacentral:rRNA from 1 species